rnacentral:tRNA from 1 species
GCCUGGGUGGCUCAGUCGGUUGAGCGUCCGACUUCGGCUCAGGUCAUGAUCUCGCUGUCCGUGAGUUCAAGCCCCACGUCAGGCU